UUCUUUCCAUGGCAACGGUGAAAGCAGCUGGCCCAGGAGACCAGGGAACCAGAGGCGCCUUUCUAGGGAGGAGAAGCUGUAGACACUCUUCUGUGGUUUGCAGAGAGUGCGCAGCGCCUCCUGGCAAUCCUGCCACCCAGAGGGAAGGAACAGGAGGGGACUCAAAAGGCCCCCAGAGUUAAAGGGCAAACCUGCGGAAGUUUGAGAACUGGCAUCCUCCAGGACCCAGCUCUGGGCUGGGCUGUUCCCCUCCGUCCAAGGGAGAAGCCCCAGAGUCAGAGGGUGGCACAAAGAGAAGCCCUGAGAGUCCCCAUGGGAUGGACACAUGCUGCCCCCGCCCCAGAAGAGCCUAGAAAAUUGAGGGAGAGAUGGUUGGAGAGCAAGCAAAGCAGAAGACAGAGGAACCAUGGACUGCCAGGGCUGGUGAGGCUCUAGUUUCCAACAUGGAAUUGACCUGCAGGAGAAGCUGGAGACUUUGUUGACAAAAUUAGCCCAAAAGAUGAAGAGACCAGAAGAUCCAGCAGGAGCUGGAGCAGCAGGCCUGAGACCCCACAGAGUGACUGGAGUGACUGCGACUUUCAGAGGCAUUUCUUGCCACACCCCCUACCCUUGUGAGACCGGAAGGCUGGAAGAGGCUGGAGCUGUCUAAUGCCCUUUGCCCAGAUCAGAUAAGAUGCUGCUAAAGCAGUUUUCCUCGGGGGCAAGCCUUUGUUACCGAAACCAUCUGGGUGGAUUUCUCAAAAUGGUUUUUCUUUUGCUGCCCCUGAAAGCAGGAGGGGAUUUCUCUGCAGUCUUCGCAGUCUUCUAUGUGAGCCCCUGUGGGGUCCUGGAGAUAAAACCCACAAACACAUGGAGGCCUGAAGACUGGGCCCCUUGGAGUUUUUAACUCUACUUAGUCUACAUGGAGCAUCCAGCCACCUACCUGUUACUAUCCCAAGUGCUCCUGCCAGUUACGGCUCCGGCUUCUCCAGCGGUUUCUGUCCCCAAGGAGGCGAAUCUGCGGGUGAUUCUCUGCCCGCAGAACUGUCUCUCCAGUUUUAGGGUUUCCCCUGUGACCCCAAAUCUCUGAUGGAUCUGCGAUUUGCAGUUUGUUUUUGCUUUUUCUUAUUGUGAGGAUGGAAGGGAUGACUUCUGAGCUCUUUAUGUGUUGGAAUUGAAACUGGAAGUCUGUG